AUAUUCAUUUUUAAACUAGCGGGCAGUGAAAUCUUUGCUUUGUGUGCUAAAGUCAACAGUCGCUUGGUUUGAGCUCAAAUAAAUGCGGGGAUGCCUCGACUGGGAGCAGUCGUCCGCCUCCCUCCGAGCGCUGGACGCUCCGCCGCCAGCCAGCCACCGCAGGCCCCCCUGGACGUAGACCAGCUCAACUGCGCCUAGGAAACAGACCCGGGUCCCCCAGAACUGUUAGCCGCCCUGCUCUCGGGUGGACUGCGUCAUCUUUGUCCCCGGCACCACCUUUGGGAUGAACUUCUAAGACCCGGAAAGAAUAUGGACACACACGUUCUAGAAGUUUGGAUGAAAUGAAUGAGGAAGACGCCACCUCUUGCCCCAUGGCCGUCUGGCUCCUGCAAGAUGAUGCAGUCCAUGCCCUGCUUGGGGCUCUGUUCCUGGAAGGAUGGGUGAGGGCUGGCAGCCGGGUGGCUGGAGCUGCUGAGGACACAGGGCAUGCAGUGUCUUCUGUGUCCUUGGCAUGGUGGCCGGCACUGGGACGGCUGCACUCAAUAAAUGUUUGUAGGGUGAGUGAAUGGAGGCAGAAAGGCGUGCAUUCAUGAAAAGCAGCCCAAAACACGGUCCCUGCCCUCUAGCAACUUACAAAGGGCCGGCUGAAUAGGCAUUACAAUGACAAUAAUCGGAUGGCCGUAAUAGUUCCUGCAUCAGCGGUUCUGUGUGUCUGUGCACGCAGCCCUGCAGCCAGGGAAACCAGGGGAGGGGUUUUGAAAACUCUGUUUGGUAGCUAGGGCCUCUCUUAUCUUUAUUAAUGCCCCACAAAACACUGUCACACUGCCCCCUUCUUGAUAAAGCAGGUAAACAGGAGCAGAAGCCAAAGAGGCAGGUUGCCAGGAGUGUCAGCGCCCACCUGGGUAGUCACAGUGAAGCCAGUGAAUGUGGAAGAACCCAGCCUUUCUGGUGGGAAUUCUUCUCCUUUUUCUUUUUAGAGUUAUUUAUUUGUUUAUUUAUUCCCUUGUAUGACAGACAGAGAAAGAGGUACUUCCCACCAGGUCUUCAUGCUAUGGUCCACCCCCAGACUCAUACAGCACACAGGAUGUGUGUACUUGGCAUGCUCAGAGAAGCCCCAGGAUGCGAGCCUAGGACCUUUCCCAUAUGGGUACCAUUGUGUUAACUACACCACCACCUGGCCUCUUGAAUAAGGAACGAUUCUGUUGUUUGUUUGCUUCAUUGCUUAUUUGACACAACUUUCCCAAGCUCUCAAGCCUACAGAUCAAUCAAGUUAAUAAAUUGGUUGAGAAUGUCUUAUCCAUUAGAGCACAGGUCCUCAGACAGGUGUUGGUCUAUGGCCUGUUAGGAACUGGGCCACAUGGCAGGAGGUGUGUGGUGGGCAAGCAAACAAAACUUCAUUUGUAUUUACAGCCACUUCCCAUCGCUUGUAUUACUGCCUGACUUCAUCUUCUGUCAGAUCAGCAGCGGUAUUGGAUUCUCAUAGGAGUGCAAAUUCCAUUGUCCUACAGUGAACUGUGCAUGUGAGGGGUCUGGGUGGCAUGCUCCUUAUGAGACUCUUAAUGUGUGAUGGUGUGAGCAGAGGCAGUGAUGCUAGCACUGGGGAGUGGCUGCAAAUAAUGUAUUAUGGUGACUUGCAUACUUAUUUCAUUAUAUAUUUGAAUGUAAUAAUAAUAGAAAUAAAGUAAAUGUGAUGUGCUUGAUUCAUCCUGAAACCACCCACCCCUUCUACCCAAUCCAUGGAAAGAUUAUCUUCCACUAAACUGGUCCCUGGUUCCAAAAAAGGUUGGUGACUGCUGAAUUAGAGUUUCCUCUUCCAAAAUGUCAGGUGUAGGGGGACAACCAACAGCAGGACA